UGACAAGACAUCACAGGACUACCUCAACAUUUAGAAUAUUCGGAAGGCCACAGCUGGGGUGGUCCUUUUUUUGAUUGCUGGACUGAAUCGUGAAGCUCUGCUUCUUCAUCUCUAAUGCCCUUCUGCUCUUGAAGUGAAGCAAUCAAUUAACGGUUUUCCAAAGAAGAAAUCUUGUCCUUCCCUGCUUACCCAGAUACAAAGAGGACAGGGGCUCACAAUACAAUGGACUUCAUUGCUUCAGCAUCAGCCAGAGCACAAAGGCUUCACUGUCUAAGAAGAAAGGAGAAAGCAGUAGCAUCUGAAACGAACACCAGACACCCUCGUGGGCUCCCCAAUCAGAAGUGGUUUUCUUGACGCUGACGGAGCCUUUAGAGUGUCUAAUGUGACAUCCCUGAGGAAAGUCUAUCCCUUCCCUCCCAACUCUGGCCAGGCACCGGAAGAAAAGUGAAAGCUUCAGGCCUCAAAAGAGCAGCAGCUUUGAAAUGUUUGUCUCUCUGACACACUCCAUUUUAGGCUUGAGCUCGUUCCCAAAAAAGCCAUGCUUCUCCACUGUACCUGCACUGAUUUGAGGAAGUGGAUUUAUACAGCAGUUUAUCCUGGAUUUUUGCUCUUCAGGCCCUGCUGGAGGCUGACAUCCCCUCCUCCUGACAACUCCAGCAUCUGGAAUUGUGAAGCAAUAUGGCCUAGUGGAAAGAGCAAGGGCCUGGGAAUUAG